UGAAAGUUACUUCGGUACAUCGGUGACAGGUGGUGCAUGGUUGUCGUCAGCUCGUGUCGUGAGAUGUUGGUUAAGUCCCGCAACGAGCGCAACCCCUAUUGUUAGUUGCCAUCAUUCAGUUGGGCACUCUAGCGAGACUGCCGGUAAUAAACCGGAGGAAGGUGGGGAUGACGUCAAAUCAUCAUGCCCCUUAUGACCUGGGCUACACACGUGCUACAAUGGUUGGUAUAACGAGUUGCGAGUCGGUGACGGCGAGCUAAUCUCUUAAAGCCAAUCUCAGUUCGGAUUGUAGGCUGCAACUCGCCUACAUGAAGUCGGAAUCGCUAGUAAUCGCGGAUCAGCACGCCGCGGUGAAUACGUUCCCGGGCCUU
rnacentral:rRNA from 1 species